UACGGAGGGGGCUAGCGUUGUUCGGAAUUACUGGGCGUAAAGCGCACGUAGGCGGACAGGGAAGUUGGGGGUGAAAUCCCGGGGCUCAACCCCGGAACUGCCUCCAAAACUCCCUGUCUGGAGGUCGGGAGAGGCGAGUGGAAUUCCGAGUGUAGAGGUGAAAUUCGUAGAUAUUGGGAAGAACACCGAUGGCGAAGGCAGCCAUCUGGACCGACACUGACGCUGAGGCGCGAAAGCGUGGGGAGCAAACAGG
rnacentral:rRNA from 1 species